rnacentral:rRNA from 1 species
GAUGAACGCUGGCGGCGUGCUUAACACAUGCAAGUCGAACGGAAAGGCCCAAGCUUGCUUGGGUACUCGAGUGGCGAACGGGUGAGUAACACGUGGGUGAUCUGCCCUGCACUUCGGGAUAAGCCUUGGAAACUGGGUCUAAUACCGGAUAGGACCACUUCUUGGAUGUUGUGGUGGAAAGUUUUUUCGGUGUGGGAUGAGCUCGCGGCCUAUCAGCUUGUUGGUGGGGUAAUGGCCUACCAAGGCGUCGACGGGUAGCCGGCCUGAGAGGGUGUACGGCCACAUUGGGACUGAGAUACGGCCCAGACUCCUACGGGAGGCAGCAGUGGGGAAGAUUGCACAAUGGGCGCAAGCCUGAUGCAGCGACGCCGCGUGGGGGAUGACGGCCUUCGGGUUGUAAACUCCUUUCGCUAGGGACGAAGCGUUUUGUGACGGUACCUGGAGAAGAAGCACCGGCUAACUACGUG